rnacentral:lncRNA from 1 species
AGCAAACACCCGGUAGACUGGCAAAACAUGAAGUCAGGUUGGCUUCUACCAGAUAGUUUAAGAGAGGUGAACGUUUCCUAACCCACAACCAGCAUCACCAGAGAUUAAAUUAAAGCAGACAGCUUCCUAGAGAAGUGUUUACGACGCUGGAAUUCCUUACCGGUUAGACAAGUUACCAUGAGCUGGGCAAUGUACUGAGAUCUCUCCAUGCAGUAUUUCCAGAGAUAAACAGUCAGGGAAGAAAAGCAAUGAGAAAAUAUAU